GAUGAAGAACGCAGCGAAAUGCGAUAAGUAAUGUGAAUUGCAGAAUUCAGUGAAUCAUCGAAUCUUUGAACGCACAUUGCGCCCCCUGGUAUUCCGGGGGGCAUGCCUGUCCGAGCGUCAUUGCUGCCCUCAAGCCCGGCUUGUGUGUUGGGCCCCGUCCUCCGAUUCCGGGGGACGGGCCCGAAAGGCAGCGGCGGCACCGCGUCCGGUCCUCGAGCGUAUGGGGCUUUGUCACCCGCUCUGUAGGCCCGGCCGGCGCUUGCCGAUCAACCCAAAUUUUUAUCCAGGUUGACCUCGGAUCAGGUAGGGAUACCCGCUGAACUUAAGCAUAUCAAUAAGCGGAGGA
rnacentral:misc_RNA from 1 species